GCGUUUUGGGAGGAGGUGGUCACCCCCUGGGUCCGGCUGCAGGAGCGCGGGCUGCGAUCUAUGUCCCAGUUCGAGCUGUGAACCCGGCGUUCCCCACGGCUUAGACUCGCCGCGCGGUAGUGAACUUGGGACCCGGACUCAGUGCCCGGGCUGCGGCGCGGACCAGAAUUGUCCAGGACAAGCUGGGCUAGAAAUGACCUGGCGAGGGUUCCAUCAAACAAGGAAAUUAGCUUUAGAUAUAUCAACAAAUGUAACUAAAUACAGAGGAUUAAUGAAGACAGAGUCUAAGUAGUUCAGUGACUACUAAGGUGGUGUUUAUAAUAUGAUCAAAAGUUUCAGAUACUGUCUGAUGCAUAACAUCUAUUCACUGGGUAAACAAAUUGGAAGCAUGGAGAAUUCAUUAUUUAAUAAGGGUGAAGGAACUGGCAAAUUUGCGAAUGACAGCAUUGGUGUAAGCUACUCUAACUUUAUUUGAGAGCUAUGAAACAAAAUGCCUACUUUUCCUGGGGAGAUUUGGGAAGACGUCACUGAGAAGAUGUUCUCAUUCCGGAGGGGAAGAACGUCUAGAAACUCCUUCUGCUAAAAAAUUAACAGAUAUAGGAAUUCGAAGAAUCUUUUCUCCAGAGCAUGACAUUUUCCGGAAAAGUGUAAGGAAGUUUUUCCAAGAAGAAGUGAUUCCUUAUCACUCAGAAUGGGAGAAAGCUGGAGAAGUAAGUAGGGAGGUUUGGG
rnacentral:sRNA from 1 species